AUCCCUGUUUUACGCGGGACCUGACAAAGUCACGGUUGGCCCCCAGCGGAUCCGGAGCAGGGACCACUUGUCCCUAUUGUUACGAGAGGGCUCUCCAGUUCCUCCGGCGCACUGCUGACCUCAGAAGGGUAAUGAACCUUCUUGUGAAGAAAAAUAAUGAGCAAAACUAUCACGUAAGGCAUUUACUUCAGCGCUAGCUAGAACCUCAGCAUGGAAGACACGGAUGCUAUAAAGCAAUACAUGCACCCGGGCGACCUGAAGGAAGCAGAUAAAGACACGCUAAUAAAGGCUGGAUGUAUUUUGAACAAUUUGGACAGUAAGACACCGAGACCUUAAUCAAGAAAGAGGCGGAGGAACAGGAGGAAGAACGACAAAGAAGAUCACGAAGUUCUGGCCGACGUUAAAGAAGC